rnacentral:misc_RNA from 1 species
GGGCUUUUCUCUCAAAGUGAAGUUCUCUCUAAAAUUAAUCUUUCACCUGCUUUAUAGAUUGGAGUCUAAACUCAAACCUAAAUUCAAUUUCAUCUUUUGCACUUAAUCAAGUACCAAAAAUCAUUGGCAUCUUGUUCACAAUCCCCAUCAGUGUUUAUUAUGCUGCAUAUGCUCUUUUCCUUUAGAAGCAUUGCAUGUGCCGCUGCUUGAAUAUCCCUAGCAGCUGCUGUUGCUCCUUUAAGAUACCAUGGCAAUUACUCUUUGAUCCUUCACUCUUUUGUGUUUUUAUUUCAAGGGGUAAUGAGUUUGAGGUGUUGAAAGAGAUGGGUAUGAGAUUUGGGUUAAUGUUGCUGUGUAAAUAGUAGAUGUCGAAAAAAGAUGGGUAUGGGAAUUGGGUUGUGCUAGUGAGACUAGGAAGGACUAGGGUCUUUGAGGCUUUCGACGAGGAGGAGCUUGUAAAUGGCUGGAUUGGGUCGAUUCCUCAAGUCUGUGACGGUGUCGAGUAGAGGAGGAAAGGAACCGAA